UGCAGGCUGAGGCUUUUGGGAGUUAGGGACUGGCUCUUGCAUUCCUCUCCUGCCUUCUCCUCUGCUCUGUCCUCCUGUCUCUCUCCUGGCCUGGCCCCCUUCUGAAUGACUCCUCACCCCUCCCACACGACUCCAGCCUCUCUGGGAGGAAGUGACAGGCUAUCACUUUCUCGCAUGUUCCCGAUAAGCAAGGGUUGCGCAUGCUGGCCACAGUGCCUGACAGGGCCCCUGCUGACACAUGCCCACUGGGUGGCCCUAAGUACAUGGGUCACCCAAUGGGACUUCUUUGUGUGCAGGCCUCAGUGCAGCGCAUUGGUUACAAUGGCCAUAGUACCACCACUGGCUCCAGUCUACAUUUUUCGCAGGCCGCCCAAAAUCCUUUGGC